CGCUGUCCCUGUGAUGUGACCGCUGUCCCCAGGGCUGUCACCCGUGUCCCCAAUGAUGUCACUGCUGUGCCAGGGCCCUUUGUGGACCUCCCUAUGGGCUCUGACUCGCAUCAUUCCUGCAAUUUUCUUGUGAUGAACUGGUAACAUCCUAUUUAAGUACAGAAAUAAUUUCACACUCAAUGGUAUAGUUAAUGUGAAGAUGGAUAAAAAAUUCUUUUAUAGCAUGGAGGCAAGAGAUAACCUGUACUAUCACUCCAUGAGGUGAAGGAGGAUUGACUGCAGUCAGGGGUAAACUGGGGCAGGACGGUUUGCUCCCGAUGAGGCCUGGAAUCUGUACAAAGAGUGCAAGCUUUCUGUGGGAGGGUUGGUGAGACCAGGAUGUUGUCUGGUGUUGCAUGAAACUCCACAUAUACAUUGCCUGCGAUGGCUCCUAACAGGCCUAUAAAUGUGUGACUGGCAGUCAGCCACUUCAUACUAUAAAAGAUGAAUCCAGACUAUAAAAUUCUGAAAUAAGAAGUUCUGUUGUACUAGACUUUAUAUUUUGCAGAAAUUCCCUAGAUUCAUCGCGUUGUCUGGGUCCAUACGAUUGGACACACCUGUUCACCUGUCCAAACUUGGAAACUAGGUCUGCCAACCGGGAAAAGAUUAUCUCAAGUACUGUUGACUCCAAAACUGACACUUCAUCAAUACGCUGUUUGAGUCAUUCACCAGUGUCAUGGUCCAACCAUGGACCACGUGGUGGGAUGGAAUCCAACAGCCCCCAGGAGCUGGUUUCUCCUCUGAGGGCGCAGAGCAGCAGGGCCUCUUCCAGACCCAACUGUAGCUUCCAGAAAGAUAUCAGCUAUACUUUGCUGAUUUCUGUUCUAGAUGUCAAUGUGUGGAUCACCCUGGCCAACGUGACGAAGACGGACAUGAUAUGUGUGUCCAUGGUAACUCCCAUGAGUCCUUUUCGCACCUGUCUGGUUGGAGUACCCACUGAUAACUACUAUUGGAGAACUCUAUAUAAUGAGACCGUGUUAGCAAACUGCACAUAUCUGGGAACUCAACCACCUCUUUGGCGAUUGGAAAUGGGGAUGGGCCUGGUUACGAAAAAGCGCUGAUAAGCUUGUCAGUAGUUGAAUGUAUAAUAACAUGCAUAUUGUGUAUAAUUCCCUAUGUACUAACGUGUACGUCGAAUGAUAAACACCAGGCUAAAUGCGUUGCAAUCUUGGGUAGUUCAUUAUCAGCCUCUUGCUACCAUUGAUCACGCGGUGGCAUGUAAGGGGGGUACUUUUGAAUUAGAUGAUCAGUGGAACAUAGAGGCGUGAGAAAGGAAUCAUAUUAGGAUGUGAAACCAGCCAGAGUAUGGUACAAUGUAACUUCAUGGCACAAGCUAAUUGGAAGGUCCACUGUGCUUUUUAGCAAGUCAGCUUGAUAUCCCCUCUUAUCAGAGCUGAGUUCUUCCUUGGUUUUGCUACAUAUUGCAAGAUAGAUACAUCUACCCUUCAAACACAAUGGUAGAGGUCAUACAUAGGGGUGAGAAAGAUGAUGAUGGGAGGAAGAUGAUGUGGGCAGGGGUCGCUGGCCCCUUGCCCUACAGCAGGGCACGCACAGACUGUUGCCAUGAGGUGAUGAUCAGGAGGGGUUUGGCUGCCAUUCAGGCAUCACCUUAUACUGGGUACUGGCCCUACGUGGUGUAAUGUGGAACUGAUAAAAUGGGGUGUCGGGACUGCUGAGCUGAGCGAUCCUCAUCCUGCCACCGAGACUGUGGCUCCGCGGGGACGCCCGCUAAGCACGGGCACCGACCAGCUGCUGCAGAUCCUGACAGCCCUGGCCUGUCUGUGUGGGUCAGCACAGUUUAUUGACAGGAAGCAACUGAGAGAACAAACGUUUUAAUAUCCCUUUAGUGUCACUUUAAUUCCCCUUUUAUUUUUGAAUAUUGUUACAUAAAUAAGUUGUUCACAGUAUUUCCCUUUAAUUUCCCUUUUUACUAACCAAUAUUGUGUUAAUAGUUAUCCAUAAUAUUGUGUUAAGAUCCCUUUUUUGGUAUCCCUUUAACCCCCUUUUUCACUAGUUAAUACUGUAUUAAAUGCUGUUUGUAGUAUUUGUUUUUAAGGCCACACAAUAAGAUAUUUUAUAUCCUUUUUUAGUUCUUCAUUCUCUUUGCUAAGAUGAUUAUUAUUAUUAUUCUCAGUGUAAUAAAAGAUAUUUUUUGUGUUUGAA